CAGUUUCAAUUAGCUGCGGACAAGUAAAAUGCACAUGAGAAUCAAUUCCGCCGGCAGUAACAAUCAAUCCUUCCCCUGCUAUUAUCUCAGUAGAAGCCCCAAUGACCAGAUUAGGAUUUACGCCUUGCAUAAUGUCAGGAUUUCCAGCUUUUCCUAUAGCACAGAUCAUCCCGUCUUUUAUACCAAUAUCAGCUUUGACGAUACCCCAAUAGUCCAGAAUCAGCGCAUUGGUAAUAACCGUGUCUGGCACACCGUCUCGUCUCUUUGCCCUGGCUGACUGAGCCAUGCCGUCUCGAAUAG
rnacentral:sRNA from 1 species